AACGGGGGGAGCGAGCGUUAUUCAUCAUUACUGGGCGUAAAGGGUGCGUAGGUUGUUUUUUAAGUCUAAAUUAAAAAAUCUAAGCGAAACUUAGAAAUUAUUUUAGAUACUAUUAAGCUUAGAGGAUAUUAGAAGUUUGUUGUAUUCUCGAUGUAAAGGUGAAAUUUCAAGAUAUCGGGAGGACGAUCGAAAGGCAAAGGCAACUUACUAAAAUAUUUCUGACACUGAAGUACGAAAGCAUAGGUAGCAAAUGGG
rnacentral:rRNA from 1 species